UACGUAGGGUGCGAGCGUUGUCCGGAAUUAUUGGGCGUAAAGAGCUCGUAGGCGGUUUGUUGCGUCGGCCGUGAAAACCUGCAGCUUAACUGUGGGCCUGCGGCCGAUACGGGCAGACUUGAGUUCGGUAGGGGAGACUGGAAUUCCUGGUGUAGCGGUGAAAUGCGCAGAUAUCAGGAGGAACACCGGUGGCGAAGGCGGGAUCCUGGGCCAGUACUGACGCUGAUGAGCGAAAGCGUGGGGAGCAAACAGG
rnacentral:rRNA from 1 species